rnacentral:rRNA from 1 species
CUUCCUCGAUCGAGUGGCGAACGGGUGAGUAACGCGUGAGGAACCUGCCUAUCAGAGGGGGAUAACGAUUGGAAACGACUGCUAAUACCGCAUAAUAAAGCGUAGUCGCAUGACAAUGCUUUCAAAGGAGCAAUCCGCUUGAAGAUGGGCUCAUAUCUGAUUAGAUAGUUGGUGAGGUAACGGCUCACCAAGUCGACGAUCAGUAGCCGGACUGAGAGGUUGAACGGCCACAUUGGGACUGAGAUACGGCCCAGACUCC